AAAGUAAGAUUUGCGUUCAAAAGUUAAAUAAGAAGACUCUUUUAAAUGAACUAGAUGGAAAAGCUUAAGUAAUUUUAAGCUUAUAAAGAAGAAUGCAUCGGUAAUAAUUUGGCAUCAAAAAACUUAUUGGGAUAUGAUAAAUUGCUUUUCAACAUGAGCAAGUACAUAAAAAGAGGGUUGACAUGGUACAAAGAGCUAGAAGAGGAAGAAGUAGCAGAUCUUGAUAAAGAUGAUGGUGAUUUUAGUUUGAAUAGCAUUCAUAAUACCGAUUCAGUCGAUGACAAAGAGCAGGAUAGUGUUGAUGAAAAUAUAGGAUGGCACAAAAAUAAUGAAGUUCCCUGUUAUGUUGGAAAAGACCGUGUAACUUGUUGGAGUCUGUUUACCAAAAAUAAGAACUAAAGCAUAUAAUAUUUUCCAAUAAAGACCUGAAUCUAUAGAUAUUAAUGUAAACGCUAAAACGAUUUUAGAAUGUUUUAAAAUUUUUAUCAGUAACAACAUUGUGGAAAUGCUCAUUAAUUUUACAAAUAUAUACAUUAGAGAAAUAGAUCGAUGUGAAAUAAAAGCUCUAUUUGGAAUA